UAAGGAAUAUUGGACAAUGGAGGCAACUCUGAUCCAGCCAUGCCGCGUGAAUGAAUAAGGCCCUAUGGGUUGUAAACUUCUUUUAGACGGGACAAAACCCCUUUACGUGUAAAGGGUUGAUGGUACUGUCAGAAUAAGCAUCGGCUAACUUCGUGCCAGCAGCCGCGGUAAUACGAAGGAUGCAAGCGUUAUCCGGAAUUAUUGGGUUUAAAGGGUGCGUAGGCGGAAUAAUAAGUCAGUGGUGAAAGCCUGCAGCUUAACUGCAGAAGUGACAUUGAUACUGUUAGUCUUGAGUACAGUUGAGGUAGGCGGAAUGUGUCAUGUAGCGGUGAAAUGCUUAGAUAUGACACAGAACACCGAUUGCGAAGGCAGCUUGCUAAGCUGUAACUGACGCUGAGGCACGAAAGCGUGGGGAGCAAACA
rnacentral:rRNA from 1 species